GACGGGACCCGCACAAGCAGCGGAGCGUGUGGUUAAUUCGAGGCUACACGAAGAACUUACCAGGGUUUGACAUGCAAGUGGUAGGAAUCCGAAAGGUGACCGACCCUUCGGGGAGCUUGCACAGGUGCUGCAUGGCUGUCGUCAGCUCGUGUCGUGAGAUGUUCGGUUAAGUCCGCUAACGAGCGCAACCCUCGUCGUGUGUUAUACGUGUCACACGAUACUGCCGGUAUCAAGCCGGAGGAAGGUGGGGAUGAUGUCAAGUCAGCAUGGCCUUUAUAUCCUGGGCUACACACACGCUACAAUGGCAGAUACAAUAGGUUGCGAAACCGCGAGGUGGAGCCAAUCCUCAAAGUCUGUCUCAGUUCAGAUUGUAGGCUGCAACUCGCCUGCAUGAAGUUGGAGUUGCUAGUAAACGCAGGUCAGCUAUACUGCGUUGAAUACGUUCCCGGGGUUU
rnacentral:rRNA from 1 species